GGCCACAGUGCUUUCUCCUACCCACAUCGGCCCCAAAUUGCGGCGCGACAUGCCUGGAGCCACCCGAGUUGAUGCCCUAGGACCCCAUUGUGAACGUGGGUUUGUGCAUAUCAUAGAGUACGACGUGGUGAAUUAAAGGGGAUGGUUCUUACUAGCAAUCGAGAUAACAAGGGGCCCUAGAAUAGUGCUUGGCAGCUCUGCGGGGAAGCUUGGCAAUGGUGAGGAAUCCCUAAGACUCUGAGUAGUCGAUGUGCGCGACGCCGCUAUGUACAGGUUCUCAGAGACCCAGAGGAACACCCACACCCCACAGGGGACCCUAGCUAGCAGCGAAGGCAUAGGGACACCGUGGCGGCCAUUUCCCUCUCAUCUCACCUCACCUCCCUGUGCUCGGUAAUGGCAUCUUCACCCACGGCAAGCUACCCCUACAAGAUCCUAUGGCCAAGGAAAGGUGCGGCCGGACCUAUAUAUCCUCCUAGGCCAGCAAGUUGGAAGGGGGCAUGCACUGCGGAGCGCGGCCAAAGACUCUGGGUUUCGGUUUUGCUGGAACGGACAAGAGGGAGAUGGAAGAUCUGACAGGUGUGGCCCAUAAGUCAGCGUCAGUGAGAGGGCGACACGCAGUGUGUGGGGCGACUGACAACGCAGGAUUUCAGAUGUUACAGUGCCUGAUUCUGAAGAAUCAAGAUUUGUACGAAAUAUCACCCGAAGCAUUAGUUUUCUGGAAGUUGAAGACAUACUUAGCCAAGUUAAGAAGAGAAAACUUUCUUACAGUUUGGCCUAUACUAGUAUCAAGGGACUAAUGCUAAGUAAAGCUUUAAGAAUACAACAAGAGAACGAAGAGAAAGAGCUGACAAUACUUCAAGACAAAGUUGCAAAACUUUGGAAAUCCUUAGAGGAGAAAGAGGCCAAAGCAAUAUCUUUGAAAGAGAAAAUGGUUAUAGUCGAUGUAAGACCUAAAUUUGGUAGAGAAAAUAUAUAUCAUAAAAUAGUGAAAUAAAGAAAUAAAUAUAUAUAUGAUAGUGUUUCUGUAAUGUUUGAAACCUUGGGAGUUUAGUAGGACAUUUUUUCU